GACGAACGCUGGCGGCGUGCUUAACACAUGCAAGUCGAGCGGUAAGGCCCUUUCGGGGGUACACGAGCGGCGAACGGGUGAGUAACACGUGGGUGACCUGCCCUCAGCUCUGGGAUAAGCCUGGGAAAACCGGGUCUAAUACCGGAUAUGACUCCAUGACGCAUGUUGUGGGGUGGAAAGCCUUGUGCGGCUGAGGAUGGGCCCGCGGCCUAUCAGCUUGUUGGUGGGUGAUGGCCUACCAAGGCGACGACGGGUAGCCGGCCUGAGAGGGCGACCGGCCACACUGGGACUGAGACACGGCCCAGACUCCUACGGGAGGCAGCAGUGGGGAAUCUUGCGCAAUGGGCGAAAGCCUGACGC
rnacentral:rRNA from 1 species